rnacentral:rRNA from 1 species
CUUGGUCAUUUAGAGGAAGUAAAAGUCGUAACAAGGUUUCCGUAGGUGAACCUGCGGAAGGAUCAUUAGUGAAUCACCGGGGUAGCCACUCUGUGGCCCCCAAACCUUCACUUUCCACACACACCUGUGCACCCGGUGGUGGGGGGUUCUUGUAAUAGAGCUCCCUCUGCUGCCUAUCUAUCACAUACCCUGAGUAUUAUGGAUGUCAGUGUAUACUUGCCUUUUUGGCAGAACUAAACACAACUUUCGACAACGGAUCUCUUGGUUCUCCCAUCGAUGAAGAACGCAGCGAAAUGCGAUAAGUAAUGUGAAUUGCAGAAUUCAGUGAAUCAUCGAAUCUUUGAACGCACCUUGCGCUCCUUGGUAUUCCGAGGAGCAUGCCUGUUUGAGUGUCAUGAAUCCCUCAAACCCCUCAGGUUUUGAAACAAAAGCCUGGGCUUGGGUUUGGAUGUGGGUGCCCUGCCAUCUUGUAUGGCUCACCCCAAAUGCAUUAGCUGGACCCUUCCUGUAACCGGUUCCACUCAGCGUGAUAAGUCAUUCGCUGAGGACAGCGAGGCAAGCCCACUUGUGGGUGCGCCCCUGCUGGCCGGACUCGGGUUGCUUGGUCUGCUUACAGCCCCGUCGCAUGACGGAAAACCAUAUUCAAUGCUCUGGCCUCAAAUCASGUAGGAUUACCCGCUGAACUUAAGCAUAUCAAUAAGCGGAGGA